rnacentral:lncRNA from 12 species
UCAAUACAAACUGUACUUCUCUUCUUAGAAGGCAAAAAUACCCACCACUGGUUUCAAUUUAAAACCUUUUUUAAAAAUAAGAUUUUAUUUAUUCAUGAGAGACAGAGAGAGACAGAGACAGAGACACAGGCAGAGGGAGAAGGAGGCCCAAUGUGGGACUCGAUCCGGCAACCCCGGGACCACGACCUGAGCCAAAGGCAGACACUCAACCUCUGAGCCACCCAGGCGUCCCUUAAAACACCUUUAAAAAAAAAAAAAAACAACUGAUGGUUUAUUGCUUCUAGGUCGGUAUGAAAUCAGGAAGGCGUUCUCAGAUAUGGGGAAGCGUGGCACGUGAGGAUAGUCGAUAGUCUCCCCUCUGCUGAAUCAAAUAACCAAUCUUGAGGGUAAUAAAAGAAAAUAAAAUCGGCUCCCUGGCUAUUCUCUAGCGGCACGUGCCUACCACAGAUGCAAAUUCAGGGAGGAUAAGAACGGUGGGCACACCGGGUGCCAUUCACGACCACCCCCCCGCCCCCCGCAACCUUCCUGUUUAACAAAGAAAACUCUUCCCAUUCUAGUGAUUUCCAGCAAAUGGAAGCCAGCAAAAAAGGCACUCAGCGAAGGUUGUGUGUGUGUGUGAGUGUGUGUGUGAGUGUGUGUGAGUGUGUGUGAGUGUGUGUGAGUGUGCAAUCACGACGGCUGCAAAGCUCAAUAGGAGACCUAAGGAUGCCAGACCUGGCCGGGAGGUGCAUCGCUCGGGAAAGGCACCAAGGUGGGGAGUCACCUUCAGACCAGAGAUUGAGCAUCAGGUGGCAAAUCCCGUCGAUCAAACUCCAGCGCCUCGCUCAGCUCGGGAACCCGAGGAAACCCCUCUGCAACCAUCUCGACCAGAUCUGCAACCAGAUCGAGGUCAAUUCUCCUCCGGCGGCGGGAGAGUGGAGGUUAGAGGCGUGCGCGGGUCUCCCCCUAGUGGGCAAACGGCCUCCCCUUGCCCUCGCCGGGCGACCCGUCCCCGCCGAACAGCCAGGAGGAGGAGGAAGCAGGGACGUCCCAGGCUUGAUUCCCAAGGGGUUCUCUUCGGUGGGAAGAACAAAACCGGGGUGGGGUUUUUACACCCCAUUGGAGAAUCUUUCCCUUUGGCGUGUUUGUGAUUCAUCAGUUGGAGUCGAUUCUGGGGUCUCCCUGCAAGGACCAGUUAGCAGAGGAGGUAGGAGCAGAGUAAGCAGGGAGAUGUUAAAGGCCCAGGUCACCUGCGGGGGUUGGGUGGGGGGCUAUGUUAUUGGGGGACAAGCCAGGGAGGUCUGCGGCAAAUAAAGAGUAACUGGAGAGAGAGGCUCCCAUCCUCAUGGACACCAUGAGUCCUGAUAGCUCGUCCCUUGGACAGUGGCAGGUCAGCAGCUUGGCCAGGCUGACAGUGUCCCGUGAGGUGUCCUUGUACCAGUGUCCCCUGCCGGUUCUCGCCCUGUGGGAACAAACAGCCUUGUGGCCUAUUCUUCUUGAAAAAUAGGGGGAGUCAUCUCUGCCCUUGAUUGGUCUUGACCAGUCCUAUCAUAGUCUGCUCCAGCUAUUCUUGGCUUUCAGUAGGAAAACUUUUUUUUUAAAGAUUUUAUUUAUUUAUUUAUUCAUGAGAGACACAGAGAGAGGCAGAGACACAGGCAGAGGGAGAAGCAGGUUCCAUGCAAAAGCCCCAUGAAGGACUCGAUCCUGGAACUCCAGGAUCACCACCUGAGUCAGAGGCAGAUGGUCAACUGCCUGAGCCACCCAAGUGUCCCAUCAGUAGGAAAACUUGAAUCUAUGCAAUGGCCCUCCAAAGAGUUUCUGAGAUUCUGAAUAUGUGCACACAUUUUAAGUGUAUGUGUGUGCGUGUGUGUAUGUACUUGUCCUUUUAAAGAAAUUUUUAAAGAUUUUAUUUAUAUAUUCAUGAGAGACACAGAGAAAGGCAGAGACACAGGCAGAGGGAGAAGUAAGCUCCCUGCAAAGAGCCCAAUGAGGGACUCGAUUCCAGGCCCCCAGGAUCACAACCUGAGCCAUAGGCAGACUCUCAACCACAAAGCCACCCAGGCGUCCCUGUAGUUGUCCUUUUGAUUUUUUUUUUAUGAUAGUCACACAGAGAGAGAGAGAGAGAGAGAGGCAGAGACAUAGGCAGAAGGAGAAGCAGGCUCCAUGCACCGGAAGCCCGACAUGGGAUUCGAUCCCGGGUCUCCAGGAUUGCGCCCUGGGCCAAAGGCAGGCGCUAAACUGCUGCGCCACCCAGGGAUCCCUGUAGUUGUCCUUUUGGAUGAAAGCUUAUGGACUGCUAAUUCGUGGGGUUUUCAUAGUAUCUAUAACUAAGAAAUAUUAUAAAGCACUGGAAAAACUAGCCCCAGCAGCAAUAGGGUAUUGAGGCUGUAGAGUCAGAAUGCCUAAAUUCAAAUCCAACUAGAUUCUUUAGGAAAGUAACUUAAUCUCUCCAAGCCUCAGUUUCUUCAUUUGUAAGAUAGGGAUGAUAAUAGUAGCACUUAACCCAGUGACUUGGUGCAAAGAUGAAAUGAUACAACAUAUACAAUGCACUUAGCAAAUUGCCUGACACAUAUUAAUUGCUCUGUAAAGGUUGGACUUUAUUACCAAGAGAAACUCCUUUAAACAUGUGUAAAAUGUUAGGUUCUUUAAAAUCCCAGUGUGUGUAUCUUGCACUUUCCAAUAAUUUUGUGAUUUUUUUUUUGGAUGAGGUAAAAGGGUUAUUUUGUCUUUUGAUUAGGAAAACAUGUAAUUUCUUUGAAAUAACGUAAGUAUCUAGGGUGAUGAACUAGAUUAUAGAAUUACAAAAUUAUAUAAUUUUAAAGUAAGCAGAGACCUGAAUUAUCUAAUCAUAUCCCCUUCAAUGCCAUUUUAUGGAUAUAAUAAUCAAGAAGCAUCUUGAAAAAUGACUUGUCCAGGUCAACUCCAAUUUUGUGGCCACAAUCCAGGACCUAAUUCUGAGCUAGUUUUACCACAGCUCUCAAAGACCUUUUUAGCUUCCCCCAACCCCCAUUUCAUCAGAUUCUCAAAGGUCUAUAAAAAAAGAAGAUUGAGAAUGGCUGUCCCAUAGGAAACAUCACCAUCUAUCAGAACUCUGCUCAAAUCCCUGACUUCCUAGACCCUUUGGCUCAAAGCCAGUAUUUUUUUUUUCCUCUGAGCAUUGUGCGUCACAGUCUCCUCACUGUGCAUCUUAGUUUUAUGAUGCAUAUCACAUUAUAUUUCUCUUUUUGUCCCAUUAGAACGUAAACUUCUUGAAGACAGGAGAUAUGACCUUGCAUCUAAUAGAAUCUGACAAAAUAAUGUUUCACGAAGGAAAGGAUAGAAGGUACAAAGGUAUCGGAAGGGCACCUAUUUCAUUGGUGAACUUGAACCUGAAAAAAUUCCAGAAGACCUAAGAGAAGCCCAUUGCUCAUUGCUGACACUUUCUCCGGGAGACAUCUGGAAACAAUAUGAAGUAUAAUCAGCCUGUAAUCAGGGCCAACAGCACAGAAAGGUUAGAGGUGGGUUGUCAGGAAAAAAAUCCAAAACCCAUUUACACCUUGGGGACAGGACUCCAGAAACUCAGAUGGAAAAAAGAUGAGAUUCCAGCCUGAAAAUAGAAUAUAUGUCAAGGAUUUGUUCAUAAGAGCAUGAUUCCUUGCUCUAGCUCCUAGAUCAAGACCCCCAGUGAAAGAACAGAGCUGACCAAGUGCUGGGCUUGGUCCGCGCAUCUGAGAUUGGACAGGGUUGGGGGGUGGUUAUCCCCAGCUUUGCAAAUGAGAACCCAAGUGGGAAGAUGCCAGCUGAGAUCCGAGUCUCCCCUGUGUGUCUUCUACUGUUGCUCCUCAGCCUUUCCUCCUUACUGCGCCUCAGAUUCGGCCACGGCAGGAGAAGCAUGGCCACACUUUCUGCCAGUGCAACAGUUGUUCUCACGGAGCAAGGCCUGUGAACCUGAGCUUAUGUGUCUCUGCUUUCACUGCAUCUGUAUCUUUGGGGUAAAUCACCAGUAGUGUAAUUGCUGGGUCGUAGGGCAGUUCUAUUUUUAACUCUUUGAGGAACCUUCACACAGCUUUCCAGAGCGGCUGUCCCAGUUCACAUUCCCACCAACAGGGCAAGAGGGGUCCCCUUUCUCCACAUCCUCUCCAACAUUUGUGGUUUCCUGUUUUGUUAAUUUUCCCCAUUCCCACUGGUGUGAGGUGGUAUCUCAUUGUGGUUUGGAUUUGUAUUUCCCUGAUGGCAAGUGAUGCGGAGCAUUUUCUCAUGUGCUUGUUGGCCAUGUGUAGGUCUUCUUUGGAGAAAUUUCUGUUCAUGUCUUCUGCCCAUUUCAUGAUUGGAUUGUUUGUUUCUUGGGCGUUGAGUUUAAUAAGUUCUUUAUAGAUCUUGGAUACUAGUCCUUUAUCUGAUUCAUCACUUGCAAAUAUCUUCUCCCAUUCUGUAGGUUGUCUUUUAGUUUUGUUGACUUUUCUUUUGCUGUGCAGAAGCUUUUUAUCUUGAUGAAGUCCCAAUAGUUCAUUUUUGCUUUUGUUUCCCUUGCCUUCAGAGAUGUAUCUUGCAAGAAGUUACUGUGGCCAAGUUCAAAAAGGGUGUUGCCUGUGUUCUCUAGGAUUUUGAUGGAUUCUUGUCUCACAUUUAGAUCUUUCAUCCAGAUGCAGUGAAAACCGGAGACACCUGCACCCCAAUGUUUAUAGCAGCAAUGUCCACAAUAGCCAAACUGUGGAAGGAGACUUGGUGUCCAUCGAAAGAUGAAUGGAUGAAGAAGAUGUGGUCUAUGUAUAAAGUGGAAUAUUCCUCAGCCACUAGAAACAAUGAAUAUCCAUCAUCUGCUUCAAUGUGGAUGGAACUGGGGGGUAUUAUGCUGAGGGAAGGAAGUCAAUCAGAGAAGGACCAACAUUACAUGGUCUCAUUCAUUUGGGGAAUAUAAAAUAUAGUGAAAGAGAUUAAAAGGGAAAGGAGAUAACAUGAGUGGGAAAUAUCAGUGAGGGUGAGAGAACAUGAGAGGCUCCUAACUCUGGAAAAUGAACAAGGAGUAGUGGAGAACGAGGUGGGCGGGGGCAUAGGGUGACUGGGUGACGGGCACUGAGGGGGCACUUGACGGGAUGAGCACUGGGUGUUAUGCUAUAUGUUGGCAAAUCGAACUCCAAUAAAAAAAUACACAAAAAAAACA